rnacentral:rRNA from 1 species
GACGAACGCUGGCGGCGUGCCUAAUACAUGCAAGUAGAACGCAGUUGCGAACGGGUGAGUAACGCGUAGGUAACUGCCUCAUAGCGGGGGAAAAAUAUUUGAAACGAUAGCUAAUACCGGAUAGUGGGAGCUGGACCUGCGUUGUAUUAGCUAGGUGGUGAGGUAAAGGCUCAACAAGGCGACCAGACAUAGCCGACCUGAGAGGGGUGUCGGGCAAACUGGGACUGGUAACAGGCCCAGACUCCUACGGGAGGCAGCAGUAGGGGAUUAUCGGAAAUGGACGGAAGUCUGACCGAGCAACGCCGCGUGAGUGAAGAAGGUUUUCGGAUUGUAAAGCUCUGUUGUUAGAGAAGCGGUACCUAACCAGAAAGGGACGGCUAACUACGUGCCAGCAGCCGCGGUAAUUC